AGAGUUUGAUCAUGGCUCAGAACGAACGCUGGCGGCGUGCUUAACACAUGCAAGUCGAGUGCGCGUACCGUAGCAAUACGGUAUGGCGCACGGCGCACGGGUGCGUAACACGUGGGCAAUCUGCCCUUCGAUGGGGAAUAUCUUCGGGAAACCGAAGCGAAUUCCGCAUAACAUUCCUUGGACUUCGGUUCGAGGACUCAAAGCCGUAAGGCGUCGAAGGAGGAGCCCGCGCCCGAUUAGCUAGUUGGUGAGGUAACGGCUCACCAAGGCAAUGAUCGGUAGCUGGUCUGAGAGGAUGGCCAGCCACACUGGAACUGAGACACGGUCCAGACUCCUACGGGAGGCAGCAGUGGGGAAUCUUGCGCAAUGGGCGAAAGCCUGACGCAGCGACGCCGCGUGGGGGAUGAAGCAUCUCGGUGUGUAAACCCCUUUCGACUGGGACGAAUGCCUCGCAAGAGGAGUGACGGUACCAGUAGAAGAAGCCCCGGCUAACUACGUGCCAGCAGCCGCGGUAAGACGUAGGGGGCCAGCGUUGUUCGGAAUUACUGGGUGUAAAGGGUUCGUAGGCGGUGUGGCAAGUCGGGAGUGAAAUCUAUGGGCUUAACCCAUAGGCUGCUUCCGAAACUGCUGUGCCUGAGUGUGGGAGAGGCGCGUGGAAUUGCAGGUGUAGCGGUGAAAUGCGUAGAUAUCUGCAGGAACACCCGUGGCGAAAGCGGCGCGCUGGACCACAACUGACGCUGAGGAACGAAAGCUAGGGGAGCAGACAGGAUUAGAUACCCUAGUAGUCC
rnacentral:rRNA from 1 species